rnacentral:piRNA from 1 species
UAAGGCAUAGACUGUUCUGAC